rnacentral:misc_RNA from 1 species
AGGCCCAGCGGGGGCUAGAGGAAGAUAUCUGAAAUGGGUACUUCUAUUUAUAAGUUUUGGAUGAGAACAGUGCCGGCUUUAUUAGAUUGUCCGGCAGUUCUUACUCCCUGUUUGUUGGUUUUCCCAUCCCAUCCCAGCUUGAGUAGGAUUAGGUUUUUGUAAAAUCCCAACUCUGUUAGUGUGAUUUGGUACAAGUACUGUGUCCAUAAUAAUUUUUUUAUAAGUCUGGUAUAUUACUCAGUCGUCUUAUUCUUUCGAUCUGUUGUUAUUUUAUGGCAAAGAGUUU